rnacentral:rRNA from 1 species
GAAACAGUUGCUAAGACUGGAUAGGAAAAUAAAAAGGCAUCUUUUUAUUUUUAAAAGACCUUUUUCGGAAGGUAUGCUUAAAGAGGGGCUUGCGUCACAUUAGUUAGUUGGCAGGGUAAAGGCCUACCAAGACUAUGAUGUGUAGCUGGACUGAGAGGUUGAACAGCCACAUUGGGACUGAGACACGGCCCAAACUCCUACGGGAGGCAGCAGUAGGGAAUUUUCGGCAAUGGAGGAAACUCUGACCGAGCAACGCCGCGUGAACGAUGAAGUAUUUCGGUAUGUAAAGUUCUUUUAUUGAAGAAGAAAAAAUAGUGGAAAAACUAUCUUGACGAUAUUCAAUGAAUAAGCCCCGGCAAACUAUGUGCCAGCAGCCGCGGUAAUACAUAGGGGGCGAGCGUUAUCCGGAAUUAUUGGGCGUAAAGGGUGCGUAGGCGGUUUAAUAAGUCUAUAGUUUAAUUUCAGUGCUUAACACUGUCCUGCUAUAGAAACUAUUAGACUAGAGUGAGAUAGAGGCAAGUGGAAUUCCAUGUGUAGCGGUAAAAUGCGUAAAUAUAUGGAGGAACACCAGAGGCGUAGGCGGCUUGCUGGGUCUUUACUGACGCUGAGGCACGAAAGCGUGGGGAGCAAACAGGAUUAGAUACCCUGGUAGUCCACGCCGUAAACGAUGAGUACUAAGUGUCGGGAUUACUCGGUACUGAAGUUAACACAUUAAGUACUCCGCCUGAGUAGUACGUACGCAAGUAUGAAACUUAAAGGAAUUGACGGGACUCCGCACAAGCGGUGGAUCAUGUUGUUUAAUUCGAAGAUACACGAAAAACCUUACCAGGUCUUGACAUACUCUGCAAAGCUAUAGCAAUAUAGUGGAGGUUAUCAGGGAUACAGGUGGUGCAUGGUUGUCGUCAGCUCGUGUCGUGAGAUGUUAGGUUAAGUCCUAAAACGAGCGCAACCCUUGUCAUUAGUUGCCAGCAUGUCAUGAUGGGCACUUUAAUGAGACUGCCAAUGAAAAAUUGGAGGAAGGUGAGGAUCACGUCAAAUCAUCAUGCCCCUUAUGAUCUGGGCUACAAACGUGAUACAAUGGCUGUUACAAAGAGUAGCUGAAACGCAAGUUUAUAGCCAAUCUCAUAAAAGCAGUCUCAGUUCGGAUUGAAGUCUGCAACUCGACUUCAUGAAGUUGGAAUCGCUAGUAAUCGCGAAUCAGCAUGUCGCGGUGAAUACGUUCACGGGGUUUGUACACACCGUGCGUC